UACGUAGGGGGCUAGCGUUGUCCGGAAUCAUUGGGCGUAAAGCGCGUGUAGGCGGCCCGGUAAGUCCGCUGUGAAAGUCGGGGGCUCAACCCUGGAAUGCCGGUGGAUACUGUCGGGCUCGAAUCCGGAAGAGGUGAGUGGAAUUCCUGGUGUAGCGGUGAAAUGCGCAGAUAUCAGGAGGAACACCAAUGGCGAAGGCAGCUCACUGGGACGGUAUUGACGCUGAGACGCGAAAGCGUGGGGAGCAAACAGG
rnacentral:rRNA from 1 species